rnacentral:rRNA from 1 species
AUGGACGCAAGUCUGAUGGAGCAACGCCGCGUGAGUGAAGAAGGGUUUCGGCUCGUAAAGCUCUGUUGGUAGUGAAGAAAGAUAGAGGUAGUAACUGGCCUUUAUUUGACGGUAAUUACUUAGAAAGUCACGGCUAACUACGUGCCAGCAGCCGCGGUAAUACGUAGGUGGCAAGCGUUGUCCGGAUUUAUUGGGCGUAAAGCGAGUGCAGGCGGUUCAAUAAGUCUGAUGUGAAAGCCUUCGGCUCAACCGGAGAAUUGCAUCAGAAACUGUUGAACUUGAGUGCAGAAGAGGAGAGUGGAACUCCAUGUGUAGCGGUGGAAUGCGUAGAUAUAUGGGAGAACACCAGUGGCGAAGGCGGCUCUCUGGUCUGCAACUGACGCUGAGGCUCGAAAGCAUGGGUAGCGAACAGGAUUAGAUACCCUGGUAGUCCAUGCCGUAAACGAUGAGUGCUAAGUGUUGGGAGGUUUCCGCCUCUCAGUGCUGCAGCUAACGCAUUAAGCACUCCGCCUGGGGAGUACGACCGCAAGGUUGAAACUCAAAGGAAUUGACGGGGGCACGCACAAGCGGUGGAGCAUGUGGUUUAAUUCGAAGCAACGCGAAGAACCU